GCAGUGGUGGUUCAGCGGUAGAAUUCUCGCCUCCCAUGCAGGGGACUAGGGUUCGAUUUCCAAUCAAUGUA
rnacentral:tRNA from 1 species